rnacentral:rRNA from 1 species
AGUGAACGCUGGCGGUAGGCCUAACACAUGCAAGUCGAACGGCAGCACAGGAGAGCUUGCUCUCUGGGUGGCGAGUGGCGGACGGGUGAGGAAUACAUCGGAAUCUACUCUGUCGUGGGGGAUAACGUAGGGAAACUUACGCUAAUACCGCAUACGACCUACGGGUGAAAGCAGGGGACCUCCGGCCCUUGCGCGAUUGAAUGAGCCGAUGUCGGAUUAGCUAGUUGGCGGGGUAAAGGCCCAACAAGGCGACGAUCCGUAGCUGGUCUGAGAGGAUGAUCAGCUAGAAUGGAACUGAGACACGGUCAAUACUCCUAUGGGAGGGAGCAGUGGGGAAAAUUGGACAAUGGGCGCAAGCCUGAUCCAGCCAGACCGCGUGGGUGAAGAAGGCCUGCGGGUUGUAAAGCCCUUUUGUUGGGAAAGAAAUCCAGCUGGCUAAUACCCGGUUGGGAUGACGGUACCCAAAGAAUAAGCACCGGCUAACUUCGUGCCAGCCGCCGCCGUAA